CUCUUCUCAUUCAUUCACACUUUCACCUAGAAACUUCAUUCAAACUUUAAAAUAUUCACACAUCUUCAGACAUUCACUCAUUCAUUCAUCAUCUUCAUGGCAUUCAUACUUUUCUCACAGUGACAGUUCAAAAAUUCACAGGAUUUUCUGACCGGUUCAGGUUUUAACAUUAGUGUGUAUUGCACGGAAUGUUGGCAGCUAGAGUGGGUGACCUCACAGCUAGAGUGAGAGGGGCUGAAAAUCGAUCCUCAAAACUUUGAAUUUACAAAAGGAUUGUGGCAACUCCCUUCGCUCUACACAGAUAAAAAUUGGUACAGUGAUGGCAAAACUCGCUGUCACUCUUCAUCUAAAAAAUCAAAGCCAUAGGACACACACAGUGGCCUGGGCAGACACCAACUGCCGCAGACAUCCCCCAGAUUUCUCCAUUGACUCCAAUGUAAACCUGAGGGGAGGAUUUUCAGAGGAAACACAAACUGGACAUGUUUUUAACUUGUCGUAGCGAAGGCAUUUUUGGCUCCACAAACACAGAAGUUGUAUCAACGUGUUCAGCCGGGCCUUGUGGUUCUCACAAGCUCCUGAUCAUGAAGAUAGCAGUUACAGAGGAUGAGGAAUAUGACGUUGUUUGGGCAUUACGUUCUCGGCCUCAAGCCUCCUUUCUCUUGCGUCAUGAUGCAUCUGCUGUCACCAUGGCAACCAAUAAGAGCACCUGGAGACACACAGCUGGCUGGAAAGCUGCUUCUAACAGCCAUAUGAGACACAUGAAGCAAGGCUCAGUACACAGAGUACUGGGGGUUACAUUUAAAACCUUAUGGGGUCUAAUCAGGAUUUUUAUUCAUUUACAUUGUCCCCAUUUUUCAAUCAUUCAUUGAAAAUGCAUAAUUUAGUUCUUCAAAUUGAUUUGAACCGUUUUGAUUCUUCAAACCUCUUUUUCUUCCAGAUUUGUAACCUUUUAAUUUUCCACUUUUAAAUAUUUUUUACUCUUAAUGCAUUAUUCAGUUCUUUCAAGCAAAUUUCAACUCAUUUAAACUGAUUCAAACCUUAUUGAUUCUUCAAGCCUUUCCCAUACUUCAGGGUUUUUAAUCAUUUUAAUUUUCACAUGUUGAAUUUUUAAAAUUAUUAUUCAUGCAUUAUUCAAUUCAUUCAACAGAGUUUAUUCAAAUUGAUUCAAAUCUUCCUGAUACUUCAUACCUUUUGAUCUUUCACAUAUUUUUAAAAAUCAGCCAUUCGCAAUAGCAGCGUAGCGCUAGCAAUUUCAACUGAAGCAAUCCCACUCGCAAUUUCUUCAGAAAUUGCAUUUUCUAGUUGAGUGGGAUUGCGAAGCAUUCCCACUAUAUGUUAUUCAUAUCUUUAUUAUUAUUAUUCAACACACUUCCACCGUUUUUUGGACCUCAACUACUUCCACAUACUUCAACGUAUUCAAACCAUUCAAACUUCAAAAGAUCCAUCUCAUUGAGGAGAUUCAGGGGUGUAUUCAGAAUUUUCCUAACAUUCAUACUUUCCGAGAUAUUCCAGGUUUUCCGACCGAUUUCUCCCAUAAGAAAUGCAUUACGGAAUGUUCAAAUUGGCCCUUUUCUCACAUUUUCUUCACACAACUUCAAAAGCCUUCAACUCCUCUAUACUUCCACGUAGAAACUUCAUUCAAAAACCAAAAUAUUCACAAAUUCGUCAGCAUUAUUCCACAUCUUCAACAUUUUUAAUCCCAUUUGUACUUUUCAAAAUAUUAAGAUUUGUUUAAAACUUCGUUAUAAUGGGAUUCAAUGGGAAAAGGGCUUCAGACGUACUCAACUUCAACCUCUUCUCAUUCAUUCAUACUUUCACCUAGAAACUUCAUUCAAACUUUAAAAUAUUCACACAUCUUCAGACAUUCACUCAUUCAUUCACCAUCUUCAUGGCAUUCAUACUUUUCUCACAUUGACAGUUCAAAAAGUCCAAAGAUUUUCUGACCGGUUCAGGUUUUAACAUUAGUGUGUAUUGCACGGAAUGUUGGCAGCUAGAGUGGGUGACCUCACAGCUAGAGUGAGACAGGCAGAAAAUUGAUCCUCAAAACUUUGUCUUUACAAAAGGAUUGUGGCAACUCACUUCGCUCUACACAGAUAAAAUUUGGUACAGUGAUGGCAAAACUCGCUGUCACUCUUCAUCUAAAAAAUCAAGGCCAUAGGACACACACAUUGGCCUGGGCAGACACCAACUGCCGCAGACAUCCCCCAGAUUUCUCCAGCUUUCUCCAUUGACUCCAAUGUAAACCUGAGAGGAGGAUUUUCAGAGGAAACACAAACUGGACAUGUUUUUAACUUGUCGUAGCGAAGGCAUUUUUGGCUCCACAGACACAGAAGUUGUAUCAACGUGUUCAGCCAAGUCUUGUGGUUCUCACAAGCUCCUUAUCAUGGAGAUAGCAGUUACAGAGGAUGAGAAAUAUGUCGUUGUUUGGGCAUUACGUUCUCGGCCUCAAGCCUCCUUUCUCCUGCUGUCGUUAAGCAUCUAUCAUCACCAUGGCAACCAAUAAGAGCACCUGGAGACACACAGCUGGCUGGAAAGCUGCUUCUAACAGCCAUAUGAGACACAUGAAGCCAGGCUCAGUACACAGAGUACUGGGGGUGACAUUAAAACCCUUCAAUAGAGUUAUUUGACGAACUUUGUCAUCUAUCUUUUUGCACAAACCUUGAGCUACAGAAACCAUCCAGGGCUUAAUAAAUUCAGCUCAUUGAGGACAUUAUGGGGUCCAAUCAGGAUUUUUAUUCAUUUACAUUGUCCCCAUUUUUCAAUCAUUCAUUGAAAAUGCAUUAUUUAACUCGUCAAACUAAUUUAAACUCCUUCAAACUGAUUUAAACUGUUUUGAUUCUUCAAAAUUCUUUUUCUUCCAGAUUUGUAACCUUUUUAUUUUCCAGUUUUAAAUCAUUUUUUACUCUUUAUGCAUUUUUCAGUUCUUUCCAACAAAUUCCAACUCAUUUGAACUGAUUCAAACCUUAUUGAUUCUUCAAGCCUUUCCCAUGCUUCAGGGUUUUCAAUCAUUUUAAUUUUCAUUGUGAAUUUUUAAAAUUGUUAUUCAUGCAUUAUUCAACUCAUUCAAUUGAGUUUAUUCAAAUUGAUUCAAAUCUUCCUGAUACUUCAUACCUUUUGACCUUUCUCAUAUUUUUAAAAAUCAGCCAUUCGCAAUAGCAGCGUAGCGAUAGCAAUUUCAACUGAAGCAAUCCCACUCGCAAUUUCUUCAGAAAUUGCAUUUUCUAGUUAUUAUUGAGUGGGAUUGCAGAGCAUUCCCACUAUAUGUUAUUCAUAUCUUUAUUAUUAUUGAGUGGGAUUGCAGAGCAUUCCCACUAUAUGUUAUUCAUAUCUUUAUUAUUGAGUGGGAUUGCGAAGCAUUCCCACUAUAUGUUAUUCAUAUCUUUAUUAUUGAGUGGGAUUGCAGAGCAUUCCCACUAUAUGUUAUUCAUAUCUUUAUUAUUAUUAUUAUUAUUAUUGAGUGGGAUUGCAGAGCAUUCCCACUAUAUGUUAUUCAUAUCUUUAUUAUUAUUAUUAUUAUUAUUAUUAUUAUUAUUCCGCCGUUUUUUGGCAGUCAACUACUUCCACAUACUUCAACGUAUUCAAACCAUUCAAACUUCAAAAGAUUCGUCUCAUUCCGGAGAUUCCGGCUUGUAUUCAAAAAUUUCCAAACAUUCAUACUUUCCGAGAUAUUCCAGGUUUUCCGACCGAUUUCUCCCAUUAGAAACGCAUUACGGAAUGUUCAAAUUGGCUUCAAACUUCAAAAGCCUUCAACUCCUCUAUACUUCCACGUAGAAACUUCAUUCAAAAACCAAAAUAUUCACAAAUUCGUCAGCAUUAUUCCACAUCUUCAACAUUUUUAAUCCCAUUUGUACUUUUCAAAAUAUUAAGAUUUGUUUAAAACUUCGUUAUAAUGGAAGUCAAUGGGAAAAGGGCUUCAGACGUAGUCAACUUCAACCUCUUCUUAUUCAUUCAUACUUUCACCUAGAAACUUCAUUCAAACUUUAAAAUAUUCACACAUCUUCAGACAUUCACUCAUUCAUUCACCAUCUUCAUGGCAUUCAUACUUUUCUCACAGUGACAGUUCAAAAAGUCCAAUGAUUUUCUGACCGGUUCAGGUUUUAACAUUAGUGUGUAUUGCACGGAAUGUUGGCAGCUAGAGUGGGUGACCUCACAGCUAGAGUGAGACAGGCUGAAAAUUAAUCCUCAAAACUUUGUCUUUACAAAAGGAUUGUGGCAACUCACUUCGCUCUACACAGAUAAAAAUUGGUACAGUGAUGGCAAAACUCGCUGUCACUCUUCAUCUAAAAAAUCAAAGCCAUAGGACACACACAGUGGCCUGGGCAGACACCAACUGCCACAAACAUCCCCCAAAUUUCUCCAGCUUUCUCCAUUGACUCCAAUGUAAACCUGAGAGGAGGAUUUUCAGAGGAAACACAAACUGGACAUGUUUUUAACUUGUCGUAGUGAAGGCAUUUUUGGCUCCACAGACACAGAAGUUGUAUCAACGUGUUCAGCCGGGUCUUGUGGUUCUCACAAGCUCAUUAUCAUGAAGAUAGCAGUUACAGAGGAUGAGAAAUAUGACGUUGUUUGGGCAUUACGUUCUCAGCCUCAAGCCUCCUUUCUCCUGCUGUUGUUAAGCAUCUAUCGUCACCAUGGCAACCAAAGGGAGCACCUGGAGACACACAGCUGGCUGGAAAGCUGCUUCUAACAGCCAUAUGAGACACAUGAAGCCAGGCUCAGUACACAGAGUACUGGGGGUUACAUUUAAAACCCUUCAAUAGAGUUAUUUGACGAACUUUGUCAUCUAUCUCUUCGCACAAACCUUGAGCUACAGAAACCAUCCAGGGCUUAAUAAAUUCAGCUCAUUGAGGACAUUAUGGGGUCUAAUCAGGAUUUUUUUUCAUUUACAUUGUCCCCAUUUUUCAAUCAUUCAUUGAAAAUGCAUUAUUUAGUUCUUCAAACUAAUUUAUUUCCUUCAAACUGAUUUAAACCGUUUUGAUUCUUCAAACCUCUUUUUCUUCCAGAUUUGUAACCUUUUAAUUCUCCAGUUUUAAAUAUUUUUUACUCUUAAUACAUUAUUCAGUUCUUUCAAACAAAUUCCAACUCAUUUAAACUGAUUCAAAACUUAUUGGUUCUUCAAGCCUUUCCCAUACUUCAGGGUUUUUAAUCAUUUUAAUUUUCAGAUGUUGAAUUUUCUAAAACUGUUAUUCAUGCAUUAUUCAAUUCAUUCAAUUGAGUUUAUUCCAAUUGAUUCAAAUCUUCCUGAUUCUUCAUACCUUUUGACCUUUCACAUAUUUUAAAAUUCAGCCAUUCGCAAUAGCAGCGUAGCGCUAGCAAUUUCAACUGAAGCAAUCCCACUCGCAAUUUCUUCAGAAAUUGCAUUUUCUAGUUAUUAUUAUUAUUAUUAUUCCGCCGUUUUUUGGCAGUCAACUACUUCCACAUACUUCAACGUAUUCAAACCAUUCAAACUUCAAAAGAUUCAUCUCGUUGAGGAGAUUCCGGCUUGUAUUCAAAAAUUUCCUAACAUUCAUACUUUCCGAGAUAUUCCAGGUUUUCCGACCGAUUUCUCCCAUUAGAAAUGCAUUACGGAAUGUUCAAAUUGGCUUCAAACUUCAAAAGCCUUCAGCUCCUCUAUACUUCCACAUAGAAACUUCAUUCAAAAACCAAAAUAUUCACAAAUUCGUCAGCAUUAUUCCACAUCUUCAACAUUUUUAAUCCCAUUUGUACGUUUCAAAAUAUUAAGAUUUGUUUAAAACUUCGUUAUAAUGGCAGUCAAUGGGAAAAGGGCUUCAGACGUAGUCAACUUCAACCUCUUCUCAUUCAUUCAUACUUUCACCUAGAAACUUCAUUCAAACUUUAAAAUAUUCACACAUCUUCAGACAUUCACUCAUUCAUUCACCAUCUUCAUGGCAUUCAUACUUUUCUCACAGUGACAGUUCAAAAAGUCCAAAGAUUUUCAUACCUGUUCAGGUUUUAACAUUAGUGUGUAUUGCACGGAAUGUUGGCAGCUAGAGUGGGUGACCUCACAGCUAGAGUGAGACAGGCUGAAAAUUAAUCCUCAAAACUUUGUCUUUACAAAAGGAUUGUGGCAACUCACUUCGCUCUACACAGAUAAAAAUUGGUACAGUGAUGGCAAAACUCGCUGUCACUCUUCAUCUAAAAAAUCAAAGCCAUAGGACACACACAGUGGCCUGGGCAGACACCAACUGCCACAGACAUCCCCCAAAUUUCUCCAGCUUUCUCCAUUGACUCCAAUGUAAACCUGAGAGGAGGAUUUUCAGAGGAAACACAAACUGGACAUGUUUUUAACUUGUCGUAGUGAAGGCAUUUUUGGCUCCACAGACACCGAAGUUGUAUCAACGUGUUCAGCCGGGUCUUGUGGUUCUCACAAGCUCAUUAUCAUGAAGAUAGCAGUUACAGAGGAUGAGAAAUAUGACGUUGUUUGGGCAUUACGUUCUCAGCCUCAAGCCUCCUUUCUCCUGCUGUUGUUAAGCAUCUAUCGUCACCAUGGCAACCAAAGGGAGCACCUGGAGACACACAGCUGGCUGGAAAGCUGCUUCUAACAGCCAUAUGAGACACAUGAAGCCAGGCUCAGUACACAGAGUACUGGGGGUUACAUUUAAAACCCUUCAAUAGAGUUAUUUGACGAACUUUGUCAUCUAUCUCUUCGCACAAACCUUGAGCUACAGAAACCAUCCAGCGCUUAAUAAAUUCAGCUCAUUGAGGACAUUAUGGGGUCAAAUCAGGAUUUUUUUUCAUUUACAUUGUCCCCAUUUUUCAAUCAUUCAUUGAAAAUAAAUUAUUUAGUUCUUCAAACUAAUUUAUUUCCUUCAAACUGAUUUAAACCGUUUUGAUUCUUCAAACCUCUUUUUCUUCCAGAUUUGUAACCUUUUAAUUCUCCAGUUUUAAAUAUUUUUUACUCUUAAUACAUUAUUCAGUUCUUUCAAACAAAUUCCAACUCAUUUACACUGAUUCAAAACUUAUUGAUUCUUCAAGCCUUUCCCAUACUUCAGGGUUUUUAAUCAUUUUAAUUUUCACACAUUGAAUUUUCUAAAAUUGUUAUUCAUGCAUUAUUCAAUUCAUUCAAUUGAGUUUAUUCCAAUUGAUUCAAAUCUUCCUGAUUCUUCAUACCUUUUGACCUUUCACAUAUUUUAAAAUUCAGCCAUUCGCAAUAGCAGCGUAGCGCUAGCAAUUUCAACUGAGGCAAUCCCACUCGCAAUUUCUUCAGAAAUUGCAUUUUCUAGUUAUUAUUAUUAUUCCGCCGUUUUUUGGCAGUCAACUACUUCCACAUACUUCAACGUAUUCAAACCAUUCAAACUUCAAAAGAUUCAUCUCAUUGAGGAGAUUCCGGCUUGUAUUCAAAAUUUUCCUAACAUUCAUACCUUCCGAGAUAUUCCAGGUUUUCCGACCGAUUUCUCCCAUUAGGAAUGCAUUACGGAAUGUUCAAAUUGGCCCUUUUCUCACAUUUUCUUCACACAACUUCAAAAGCCUUCAACUCCUUUAUACUUCCACGUAGAAACUUCAUUCAAAAACCAAAAUAUUCACAAAUUCGUCAGCAUUAUUCCACAUCUUCAACAUUUUUAAUCCCAUUUGUACUUUUCAAAAUAUUAAGAUUUGUUUAAAACUUCGUUAUAAUGGGAUUCAAUGGGAAAAGGCUUUCAGAUGUAGUCAACUUCAACCUCUUCUCAUUCAUUCAUGCUUUCACCUAGAAACUUCAUUCAAACUUUAAAAUAUUCACACAUCUUCAGACAUUCACUCAUUCAUUCACCAUCUUCAUGGCAUUCAUACUUUUCUCACAGUGACAGUUCAAAAAUUCACAUGAUUUUCUGGCCUGUUCAGGUUUUAACAUUAGUGUGUAUUGCACGGAAUGUUGGCCACUAGAGUGGGUGACCUCACAGCUAGAGUGAGACAGGCUGAAAAUUGAUCCUCAAAACUUUGUCUUUACAAAAGGAUUGUGGCAACUCACUUCGCUCUACACAGAUAAAAUUUGGUACAGUGAUGGCAAAACUCGCUGUCACUCUUCAUCUAAAAAAUCAAAGCCAUAGGACACACACAGUGGCCUGGGCAGACACCAACUGCCGCAGACAUCCCCCAGAUUUCUCCAGCUUUCUCCAUUGACUCCAAUGUAAACCUGAGAGGAGGAUUUUCAGAGGAAACACAAACUGGACAUGUUUUUAACUUGUCGUAGUGAAGGCAUUUUUGGCUCCACAGACACAGAAGUUGUAUCAACGUGUUCAGCCGGGCCUUGUGGUUCUCACAAGCUCCUUAUCAUGGAGAUAGCAGUUACAGAGGAUGAGGAAUAUGACGUUGUUUGGGCAUUACGUUCUCAGCCUCAAGCCUCCUUUCUCAUGCUGUUGUUAAGCAUCUGCUGUCACCAUGGCAACCAAAGGGAGCACCUGGAGACACACAGCUGGCUGGAAAGCUGCUUCUAACCGCCACAUGAGACACAUGAAGCCAGGCUCAGUACACAGAGUACUGGGGGUGACAUUUAAAACCUAUCUCUUCGCACAAACCUUGAGCUACAGAAACCAUCCAGGGCUUAAUAAAUUCAGCUCAUUGAGGACAUUAUGGGGUCUAAUCAGGAUUUUUAUUCAUUUACAUUGUCCCCAUUUUUCAAUCAUUCAUUGAAAAUGCAUGAUUUAGUUCUUCAAACUAAUUUAUUUCCUUCAAACUGAUGUAAACCGUUUUGAUUCUUCAAACCUCUUUUUCUUCCAGAUUUGUAACCUUUUAAUUUUCCAGUUUUAAAUCAUAUUUUACUCUUACUGCAUUAUUCAGUUCUUUCAAACAAAUUACAGCUCAUUUAAACUGAUUAAAACCUUAUUGAUUCUUCAAGCCUUUCCCAAACUUCAGGGUUUUUAAUCAUUUUAAUUUUCAAACGUGGAAAUUUCAAAAUUAUUAUUCAUGCAUUAUUCAAUUCAUUCAAUUGAGUUUAUUCCAAUUGAUUCAAAUCUUCCUGAUACGUCAUACCUUUUGACCUUUCACAUAUUUUUAAAAUUCAGCCAUUCGCAAUAGCAGCAUAGCGAUAGCAAUUUCAACUGAAGCAAUCCCACUCGCAAUUUCUUCAGAAAUUGCAUUUUCUAGUUAUUAUUAUUAUUAUUAUUCCGCCGUUUUUUGGCAGUCAACUUCUUCCACAUACUUCAACGUAUUCAAACCAUUCAAACUUCAAAAGAUUCGUCUCAUUCCGGAGAUUCCGGCUUGUAUUCAAAAAUUUCCAAACAUUCAUACUUUCCGAGAUAUUCCAGGUUUUCCGACCGAUUUCUCCCAUUAGAAAUGCAUUACGGAAUGUUCAAAUUGGCUUCAAACUUCAAAAGCCUUCAACUCCUCUAUACUUCCACGUAGAAACUUCAUUCAAAAACCAAAAUAUUCACAAAUUCGUCAUCAUUAUUCCACAUCUUCAACAUUUUUAAUCCCAUUUGUACUUUUCAAAAUAUUAAGAUUAGUUUAAAACUUCGUUAUAAUGGCAGUCAAUGGGAAAAGGGCUUCAGACGUAGUCAACUUCAACCUCUUCUCAUUCAUUCAUACUUUCACCUAGAAACUUCAUUCAAACUUUAAAAUAUUCACACAUCUUCAGACAUUCACUCAUUCAUUCACCAUCUUCAUGGCAUUCAUACUUUUCUCACAGUGACAGUUCAAAUAGUCCAAAGAUUUUCAGACCUGUUCAGGUUUUAACAUUAGUGUGUAUUGCACGGAAUGUUGGCCGCUAGAGUGGGUGACCUCACAGCUAGAGUGAGACAGGCUGAAAAUCGAUCCUCAAAACUUUGUCUUUACAAAAGGAUUGUGGCAACUCACUUCGCUCUAGACUGAUAAAAUUUGGUACAGUGAUCGCAAAACUAGCUGUCACUCUUCAUCUAAAAAAUCAAAGCCAUAGGACACACACAGUGGCCUGGGCAGACACCAACUGCCGCAGACAUCCCCCAGAUUUCUCCAGCUUUCUCCAUUGACUCCAAUGUAAACUUGAGAGGAGGAUUUUCAGAGGAAACACAAACUGGACAUGUUUUUAACUUGUCGUAGCGAAAGCAUUUUUGGCUCCACAAACACAGAAGUUGUAUCAACGUGUUCAGCCGGGCCUUGUGGUACUCACAAGCUCCUGAUCAUGAAGAUAGCAGUUACAGAGGAUGAGAAAUAUGACGUUGUUUGGGCAUUACAUUCUCAGCCUCAAGCCUCCUUUCUCCUGCUGUUGUUAAGCAUCUAUCGUCACCAUGGCAACCAAAGGGAGCACCUGGAGACACACAGCUGGCUGGAAAGCUGCUUCUAACAGCCAUAUGAGACACAUGAAGCCAGGCUCAGUACACAGAGUACUGGGAGUGACAUUUAAAACCCUUCAAUAGAGUUAUUUGACGAAAUUUGUCAUCUAUCUCUUCGCACAAACCUUGAGCUAUAGAAACCAUCCAGGGCUUAAUAAAUUCAGCUCAUUGAGGACAUUAUAGGGUCUAAUCAGGAUUUUUAUUCAUUUACAUUGUCCCCAUUUUUCAAUCAUUCAUUGAAAAAGCAUUAUUUAACUCUUCAAACUAAUUUAAACUCCUUCAAACUGAUUUAAACCGUUUUGAUUCUUCAAACUUCUUUUUCUUCCAGAUUUGUAACCCUUUAAUUUUCCAGUUUUAAAUAUUUUUUACUCUUAAUGCAUUAUUCAGUUCUUUCAAACAAAUUAUAACUCAUUUGAACUUGUCCUUCUUUCUUCUGCUGUAAUGAUGUAUUUACCUUCAGCAUGGCAA